rnacentral:snoRNA from 1 species
GUUCGUUGAAAAUCAUCCCCGGCUUUGGCCGUGGCCGUGGGUGAGAUUCGGCGCCCAGAGCCUCCAGGGGCCUCAGCUCACCACCCACUGAUCCAGUGUGGGACAGUGAAACCCAGACCCCGACAAGC